AGUGGCGACGGGUGAGUAACACGUGACUAACCUACCCUCUGGCGGGGAAUAACUCGGGAAACGGGGGCUAAUACCGCAUAACAUCCGUGCAAUCAAAGGAGCGCCGGAUGAGGGGGUCGCGGCUGAUUAGCUAGUUGGCGGGGUAACGGCCCACCAAGGCGAUGAUCAGUAGCCGGCCUGAGAGGGCGCACGGCCACACUGGAACUGAAACACGGUCCAGACUCCUACGGGAGGCAGCAGUGGGGAAUUUUGCGCAAUGGGGGAAACCCUGACGCAGCAACGCCGCGUGGAGGAUGAAGUCCCUUGGGACGUAAACUCCUUUCGACCGGGACGAAUGACGGUACCGGUGGAAGAAGCCCCGGCUAACUUCGUGCCAGCAGCCGCGGUAAUACGAGGGGGGCGAGCGUUGUUCGGAAUUAUUGGGCGUAAAGGGCGCGUAGGCGGUGCGGUAAGUCUCCUGUGAAACCUCUGGGCUUAACUCAGAGCCUGCAGGGGAAAC
rnacentral:rRNA from 1 species